UCAAAAGGACAACAAUAUAAUCCUUGUCAUUAUUAUCACAGUGAGUCAUGUGACCAUGAAUGAUUCUAGCCCCAUGCCAGCCAGCAAAAUAUUUUCUCUUGCAAGAGUGGAGACGAGUGUGUGGAGCUGGUGUUCCUAUCAUAAGGAGGACUAGUAAUAUGACGAUAGAUGGCAUGCUAGUGGAGAAGUGGGGUUAGACAUUUGGUGGUUAAAAACAAACUACAGUUGCUGACAGCCCGUUUCCUGUCAUGGAGAUAAUAAGUGUAUUGGUGACAAGUAUAAGCGGUGGACGUGGUAACUUCAUUGAAAACCAGAGGAAUGCACGUUUCUUGAAUUGUGUACUAUGUGCGUAAUUUCCCAUCGAUGCCAACUUAACAUCACGGGCGAACUUCUAGGAGUGACGCGUGGACCAACAUUAACAGAAGGAUUUAAAAGACACUUUCUUAAUUAAAGAAAUUUCCAUAAGGACCCUGAGGGCAUCUUCCAGUGCAACCAACAGAUAGAAUAGCAGCUCUUGGGGGAUGCGAUAGCAGUGUCUUUCCUUUAUCUACAAAAAAG